CACAAAUACAUCGCAGGUCAGAGCAGGACCGACGGGAGCUUGCUCCCUUAGGUCAGCGGCGGACGGGUGAGUAACACGUGGGUAACCCUGCCUGUAAGACUGGGAUAACUCCGGGAAACCGGGGCUAAUACCGGAUGCUUGAUUGAACCGCAUGGUUCAAUCAUAAAAGGUGGCUUUUAGCUACCACUUACAGAUGGACCCGCGGCGCAUUAGCUAGUUGGUGAGGUAACGGCUCACCAAGGCGACGAUGCGUCAGAGGGUGAUCGGCCACACUGGGACUGAGACACGGCCCAGACUCCUACGGAGGCAGCAGUAGGGAAUCUUCCGCAAUGGACGAAAGUCUGACGGAGCAACGCCGCGUGAGUGAUGAAGGUUUUCGGAUCGUAAAACUCUGUUGUUAGGGAAGAACAAGUACCGUUCGAAUAGGGCGGCACCUUGACGGUACCUAACCAGAAAGCCACGGCUAACUACGUGCCAGCAGCCGCGGUACAUACGUAGGUGGCAAGCGUUGUCCGGAAUUAUUGGGCGUAAAGCCGCGCAGGCGGUUUCUUAAGUCUGAUGUGAAAGCCCCCGGCUCAACCGAGGGAGGGUCAUUGGAAACUGGGGAACUUGAGUGCAGAAGAGGAGAGUGGAAUUCCACGUGUAGCGGUGAAAGCGUAGAGAUGUGGAGGAACACCAGUGGCGAAGGCGACUCUCGGUCUGUAACUGACGCUGAGGCGCGAAAGCGUGGGGACGAACAGGAUUAGAUACCCUGGUAGUCCACGCCGUAAACGAUGAGUGCUAAUGUUAGAGGGUUUCCGCCCUUUAGUGCUGCAGCAAACGCAUUAAGCACUCCGCCUGGGGAGUACGGUCGCAAGACUGAAACUCAAAGGAAUUGACGGGGGCCCGCACAAGCGGUGGAGCAUGUGGUUUAAUUCGAAGCAACGCGAAGAACCCUUACCAGGUCUUGACUCCUCUGACACCCUAGAGAUAGGGCUUCCCUUCGGGGCGAGUGACAGUGGUUGCAUGGUGUCGUCAGCUCCGUGUCGUGACGAAUUGUUACA
rnacentral:rRNA from 1 species